CUGUCCGUGAGGGCGGUAACGGAAGAGCUCCGACAUCGAAAUUUACCCCGGGGCGCGCCCGGAGUACCUCGCCCGGAGCAGCCGUUAAAGACAGCCUUGCCAAAGCUCCGCGAUGCCUCUCUCCCUUCUCCGCUACCAGAAAGAACAAGUGCACCUCAUUUAAAAAAAAAAAAACAAAAAACGGAAAACCAGAACACCAAAACCCAAACUUGGUCAUCUGGCGUGUUCAGCAUGGAGAAGAACGAGGGGAAACCUCAUCGCAUCCUACAACUUCCUCGUGAGGGGAAGCGGAGGGGUAGCUCCGAUAUCUGCUCUCUGCGACCAGUGACAGGACCCGAGGGAACGGCUGGAGGUGUGUCAGGGGAGAUUUAGGCAAAUACAUAAGGAAAAGAUGCUUCCCCCGGAGGAUGGUUGGGCACUAAACAGGCUCCCAGGGCAGUGGUCACGGUACCAAGGCUGCUAGAGCUCAAGGAGUGUUUAGACAAGGCUCUCAGGGACAGGGUGGGAUUGUUGGGGUGUGCUGUGCAGGAUUUGGACUGGAUGAUACUAUGACUCCCCUCCCACUCAGAAGAUUCUGUGAUUUCUGGAAAAAAACAACAGCAAAAACUAACUAAAUAAAACAAGCAAAAAACCCCCCAAAAACCAGCCAAACAAAAAAUAACCAAAAACCCCUUCAAUAGCUUAAGGCUAAAAACAAACCAAUCACAGUCCCCAAAGACUUUUCUAACAAGGCCUGAGUAGUGGAGCUGUGUUUCCAGGGAAGAUGAGGGGUCUCCACCCCUGGAGAGAACUUUGCUGUGGAUCAUCUGAAGUGUCCCCAGGGCUCUUCCAGUUGUGCAGGAGGAGACUCCACGUAUACUUGAAGAUCCCUUUAUCACAAAACUGGACAGAAGAGGAUGGAAACAUUAGAGAUGCAGUCAUUUGUUAUCAGCAGCACCUUGGCAGUGCUGGUGUUGAACGUUCUCUGUAAGUUGGAAAAGGACAAAAACCCUCUUGCCAACAGAGGCAUGUGAGCAAUACUGGCUGAGACAUCUUGGCACUUGAACAGCAUCAGUCUGCACUGGGUAGGAAGAAUUGAUCCAACAUGCCUCUGCAGAUCUUAUGCAGAUAUUGUCUGGACUCUCAUUCCUGCAAAGCAGCUUGGCACUGGUAUGGGGAAAUGUCCCCAUUCAUACCUUCAGACCUGAGUGUGUUCCCAAAGAGAUCAGCAAAGAAAUAAAGUGUUCAACUUAAGGAUAACUUGCUGCCUUCCAGAGAAUUCAUCAUUUCCAGCUUGAAAAGAGAAAUCCAGGAAGCAUCAAUAAAUCUAUUUUGACAGUGGAGUAAAGAGCUGCAAAAUGGGUAACCUAUCAAGAUAAGUGAUUGCUGGGGACACUGGAGGGCACUGAGGUUUAUAGAAAGAGGAACACCAUAAUGAAGCUUUAUUGGGAUGGCAUCACCAAACAAUUGCUGUGAUAGCAACACUCCCAAGCUUGGAGAAAUGCCAGCCAUUCCCCGCCUAGAACUGACACAGGCACAAGCCUCCCUGGCUCAGGACUGACAGAAAAUGGAUGCUUUCUGGAUCAUAAAAUGGCCUCUUUCCAUCUUGGAAAUGGCUGAGGAACUGUCCACUUUGGAUUGGGAAAGGAUUUAUCUCCAUUGAACAGUGACUUUGAAACAUUUUUGUUUUGCUUGCUUCUGGCUUGAAAAUAAAAGUUUGUUGUUGUUUGA